CAGACCUUCCUUCCGGACCCAGGAAGGUUCCCUCUGGGCACAAAGGGACAUGCCGUUCCGAAGAACUCUGUGAGCUGAUGGAUUCUGCCAGGAGCCCAGGCACUGAGGAGAGGUCCGCCCACAAACACCAGGCCAGCGGCUCUCCGCCCACUCCCCUGCUCUCGGCAGCGGGCUCUCUGGACUCCACCUGCACCUCCUGUUUGUAGCCCCUGCCCUUGGAGGCUCCCGGACUCCAGGCCUGGGAACUGGUGUUCCAAGGAGCCCAGUUUGGGAAGCCUGCGCUUAUCGGGCAAAGCCUGUGGCGGUGGUGCCUUCCGUGACGGACACUUUCCCGCAGGCCCAGCGGAGCCCCCGGGAUUCUCGAGGAAACCGUGACAUGAAACUCCACGGAGUGAAGUGAGCAGCAUCACCGCCCGGAGCCAUGGCCAGCGUGAGGUCCAGCCGCCCCAGCUGCAUCCGGGCCGCGUUCAGCGCCCCCAGCACCAGGGCCGGCCUGCGGAGGAGGCAGAGGAACGCGCUCCAUCGCCUCAAGGUCAACCACAGAAAGAGCCAUGCGGACUUCGUUGAAGGGAUCUGGAGAGAGUUUUUAGAUCCGUAUGCGGGUUUGGAGGACACCCCCGCCCACCUGGCCUGUGGCUUCAAGGACUGUUCUCCAGGUGACGUGACCUGCCGCGGGCCUGCGCACUCACCGACGCCCAGGAGCCCAGAAGUCCACUCGGGAGACCCUCUCUCGUCAGAAGGUCCCGCCGUGAAAGCCACCCCCACCGGCGGGGCUCCCGCGUCCCUGGGGGACAACGACGUGGACAUGCAGCCCGCAGAAAUGACGGAGGAAGACUGGGGGCCCCUCCUCCCUGCCGGGGAGCCCCCUGAGACUGGUCGGCGCAUGCAGGGCAGGGCCAGAGUGUCACGGCCGCCACCCAGACUCGGGAGUGAGAAGGACAAGGCGCCGAAGCUCUCACUGUCCAAGAGGAAGCUGGAGCUUUUGCUGUCGGAGCCCGAGAAGAGGAAGAGGAGGAAGCAGUACGUGGCCUAGACCAGGCAAGGACCAAACGCCCUCCGAGCCCUCUGUCCGCAGCCAACGCCCUCCAAGCCCUCUGCCGUGGCCGCUGUCCGCAGCCCCGGGACCACGCUGUUCCCAGUGCCAAUAAAAGGGGUCCCCCGAG